GUACGAUACGUUGGGAAUUUAUAAAAACGACCGUAUUUAAAUUCUGCACCAUAUUUCUAAUUGGUUGAUGCCUGCUGCUCUCCCACCGACUUCCUUCGCUGUCUCUCUUCUCAUUUCAUCUCAUCUCAGGAAAAAAAGGUUGAGUUGCUUUUAGGGGAAACAAGGAGAGAGAAACUAGAGAGAGAAAACUUCGACACCUUCAGCAACGAUGGCGGUGAGCUCAAAACCACCGAUCAUCCCUUCGACGAUGGUUAUGGGCUUCAAUUCUUCUCAGCGUUUCCGGUUUCGGCGCUGCGUUUCCGGUUUCGGCGCUGCGGUUGCUAAGGUUAAUUGCUUUUUUAUUUCUCCUCUUUUUUUCGUUUUUUCCUCGUCCUCCUGUUUCUCUGUUUUCUCUCUAAAAUAGGCGGAAGGAGGAAGAUGGAGCAAGGUUUGGUUGACUCGAGUUUGAGGUGAAUAAACUCAGCAGCUUGAGAGGUAAUUUGUUGAUUCUCGAUGGAAUUAUCUCUGAUCUCCAGGUAUAAUUUUCUCUACUUUCACUCUCGUGUUCUAAUUGGUUCAAUAUUCAGCUCUUUGCUUAGAUUUUUCCUUUUGUUUAAAUGUUAAAAAAAUUUAAUGUUAUUGACAGUACGAUGUAAAAUAUUUGUCUGAUUGAAUUAGUUUAAGAAAAUUGAUGUUAUUGAGCUUUGUUUUUGUGGGUUUUGCUUUGAUUUUUAAUGGGUUUAGUUAGAUUUUAGAAUUGGGUUUGCUUUAAUUCUUAGAAUUGUAGUUUAGGUUGGUGUAAUAAAGAGUUUAAAUUAAAAUUAAAGAGAUGUUUGAUUUGUUGUUAAAGAUGAAAUGCUUAUGAUUUCUUGAGGCAUUGACUUUGUGAGUGUUAAAUAAAGUCGAUGUCUAGCAUACUACUCUCCUUUUGAAGUUAAUCAAGACGAAAAACACUCAAAAAAGGUUAGUGAUCUGCAACUACUGCUGUAAUGUAGUUGAGAGUUGACUCUAAAAUAAUCUUAGUUGAUGACUUAAUAAGAAGUAUAUUUUGUUAGGCUUUUGAUUGCUCUCUUCUCUCAUUUUAUAUUGUUCUCUCUCCCCAUUGACUCUGACUAUCCUCUUGUUGAUUUCAUGUGUAUCUUCAUUUCAUCAUUUGAAAACGGCUUUGGUGAAUUAGUUUCAUAUGCAUCUGUUUUUCAUCAUUUGAAAUGGCUUUGGUAACUGGUUUGUGUUAAUGAAAGGCAAAGAGAAAGAGAGAAUCAAGAUAUUUGGUUUUUGCAAGCAUUUUGUUUCAGCUAAAAAAGCUAUAAUGGUUUGAUUUAUGACACUCCCUCUCCUGUUUUAUGGUGUAAACUGCUUGAUCCUAGGAAUCAUGCAGAUUUUGUGAAAGUAAUCAAUAUUUUCAUUUUCAAACAAGUAUUUAUAAAGGGCAAGAAAAGAGGCAUAGUGUCUAAUGUUAAAAUAAUUUACAUGAGGUUUGCUUUGUAAUAAGCUGUCAGAGAGUUGAGGUUCUUUAAGGUUUUUGGUUCAAGUAUGAUAAGGUUGUCUUGUAUAAUCAUUUCAAAGCAAUAUUUCCAGCUAUAAUCGAUAUCAUUUCUAGGACUUCCUACCUAAUUUGACCAACUUAAAGCGCUAAGUGAGUAAUUAUUUUCUACCACUUAUAAUACAUAUUUUAUUCGAGGAGCCUUCAUAAUUAAGGGACGGGUGCCAAAAGGAUGGGCAUCAUUGAAGCCCAAAAAAGUUAUUUAAUUAUUAUCUUAUUUAAAGUGAAUUUUGGUUUUAGCAAUUCUCUCUUAAUGUUUAUUGUUUUUUAACAAUCACCUAGAUGCUUUGUUCUGAAUCAAACUUAAUUAUAUUUUUGGUUAUUGUAAUCAUUGGCCAUAUGGAAUGCAAUGCAAAUGAAUAAAACCACAUUUUGGUUCACAGGGUUUUUGUUUUUCCCUAUUUGGUUAAAUUAUUUUAGUAUACUCUUCUUUUACAUGUAUGAGUUGUAAGAGUUUAGUUGGAAAUUCUAAGUGAUUCGCUUUGCAUGCCAAAGCUCUAGGAAUAUGAUGGAUGAAGCAUGUAUUGAUUUUUCAUAGGGAUUUAAAGAAAAUCAUAUACAUAGUAAUUACUAACUAAAAUGCCCUAAUUUGAUAAUUGAAUCAACUUUGCUAAUAUGUUGCAGGAUUUUGGUUAUAACCCUUAAAUGUUAAGAUGGAAUUAUAAAAACAUGCCUUUUUCUCUUGAGUAGUUGCCUUUAGUGAGGUGAUGGCGACAUUGGCAAUGUCGCCAUCACCUUAAUUGAUCUGCAAUUGCUUUUUUUUUCAUUAUCCAGUGAGGUGAUGGUGACAUUGGCAACGAAUGGAGCUUUAUGGAAGCCACAAGAGCAAGGGAUAAGGAGAUAUGUGGAUUAUUGGAGCAGCAAGUGUCACCUAUUCAAAAUUCUAACAAAACUCAAAUUUGGCAGCAGCUGCAACACUACUCACAAUUUCCCGAUUUCAAUAACUACCUCGCCUUCAUUUGUAUCAUGAGGGAAGAGAAAGGCUAGAGGGAGUAGAGUUGCAAGCUUGAUGGGAAUGGUAGUAUUAAUUUGCAGUCCCCCCCUCUCCUCCCUCCCCUCCAUCUCUCCAUCUUGAUGCUAUUGUUGGCUUAUCAAUUCAUUGUAUUAUGAUGAGCUGAAAAAGUCUUGAAUCUUUUAAUGGUAAUUUUAGUUUGACAUCCUAAGUACCUAAUUGGAAAAGUCUUUGGAUUAUUAUGGCGUUCUUUUUUUAAGCUUUGUUCAUUGUGGAUGUUGUUGUAUAAGUAGACAAAGUAGAUUUAUGAGUAAUGAAAAUGAUGUGACAUGUAGUAAAUUAUAUACUAUGUAAUAAUAAUUGUUAUUUAGAUUUA